UACGAAGGGGGCUAGCGUUGCUCGGAAUCACUGGGCGUAAAGCGCACGUAGGCGGCUUUUUAAGUCAGGGGUGAAAUCCUGGAGCUCAACUCCAGAACUGCCUUUGAUACUGAGAGCUUGAGUCCGGGAGAGGUGAGUGGAACUGCGAGUGUAGAGGUGAAAUUCGUAGAUAUUCGCAAGAACACCAGUGGCGAAGGCGGCUCACUGGCCCGGUACUGACGCUGAGAUGCGAAAGCGUGGGGAGCAAACAGG
rnacentral:rRNA from 1 species